GUACCCUCAUCCGCCCUGCGGGCACCUUCUCCCGAUGGGAGAAGGAGUGGGUUGAUCGGCUUGCUUCUAAGUGGCUGCUGGUGACUGCGUUUCGCCAUGUAGUGACGCAAUUGAUGGCUGCUGUGUAGUGCCGCGACUCAUGCGUACAACGCAUUGACCGGCUGGCAGCGCAUCAACGAUUUGAUUGAUCCAGCGCCGCCCCCUCAUCCGCUCUGCGGCCCCAUUUUCCCGAUGAGAAAAGGGGACGCGGCAUGCAGACAUCGUCGGUACAACCGCACACAGAAGCUCAGCGCGCCGCGUC
rnacentral:sRNA from 1 species